rnacentral:rRNA from 1 species
UACGGAGGGUGCAAGCGUUGUCCGGAUUCACUGGGUUUAAAGGGUGCGUAGGCGGGUUGGUAAGUCCGUGGUGAAAUCUCCAAGCUUAACUUGGAAACUGCCGUGGAUACUAUCAAUCUUGAAUGUCGUGGAGGUAAGCGGAAUAUGUCAUGUAGCGGUGAAAUGCGUAGAGAUGACAUAGAACACCAAUUGCGUAGGCAGCUUACUACACGAAUAUUGACGCUGAGGCACGAAAGCGUGGGGAGCAAACAGG